GGCUCCAUGGCGCAAUGGAUAGCGCAUUGGACUUCUAAUUCAAAGGUUCCAGGUUCAAGUCCCGGCGGAGUCA